rnacentral:lncRNA from 1 species
ACCAGUUCACAAUCUGUGAACUCUCCAAGGAGAUAAACUACAUUUUGGAAUACAACUAUCGGCAGAUUUUUUUUCCUGGAUGUGUGUCGUAUGUAUGUGGAGAGAGAAGAGGAGAGAGAGGGAGGAUCAGAUAUGAAAACAAAUAAAAACAUUUUAAAAAUCAGGAAAAGGAGGAUCCACAGACAGAGGUAGACAUAUGAGGAAGAAUUCUUAUAGGAAGUCAACACAUACAAUCCAAAGUUGAAAUGAACAACAAAAGAUAGAAUUAUUAAUUUCUGGUUCAUUACCAAGUGAUGAAGUUGUCACUGCUGAGAAAUGCUGAAUGGACAUAAUGCAUGCAAGGCUAUGUUUUUAAAUAAAGGUUGUCAGAACCAACGCAAAGUAGGUAUGCAAUAAAAAUACAAGUUGAAUAAAUAAAUGGAGGAGCAAAUGAAUUAGAACC